rnacentral:rRNA from 1 species
AGGUGGUGCAUGGUUGUCGUCAGCUCGUGUCGUGAGAUGUUGGGUUAAGUCCCGCAACGAGCGCAACCCUUAAGCUUAGUUGCCAUCAUUAAGUUGGGCACUCUAAGUUGACUGCCGGUGACAAACCGGAGGAAGGUGGGGAUGACGUCAAAUCAUCAUGCCCCUUAUGAUUUGGGCUACACACGUGCUACAAUGGACAAUACAAAGGGCAGCGAAACCGCGAGGUCAAGCAAAUCCCAUAAAGUUGUUCUCAGUUCGGAUUGUAGUCUGCAACUCGACUACAUGAAGCUGGAAUCGCUAGUAAUCGUAGAUCAGCAUGCUACGGUGAAUACGUUCCCGGGUCUUGUACACA